rnacentral:lncRNA from 1 species
UUUGGCUGCGACCCGGCUACGAGUAUGUAGUUGUAUGGUGGGGAUGAUAUCUUGGGCCUUAUUUGUGAGUGGCCGAGAUGCGGGAGACACAAGGCGGCUAUGGUGCUGGCCGAAAGCCAUCAACUCUGCAAGAGCACCGUGAAGGUUAGCGCGACGACCACCAUGUAAAGCCGAUACGGUGUUGCCGAUACGGUGUUGCCGAUACGGUGUUGGGCGGCGUGACGCAAGUUCGCCACCGCUGGGUCAGAUGGAAACGCCGGAACCCGUUGCUGUUGAACAGUGGAGGAAGUGUUAAGGUAAGAUUCAUUUUUGUCGUGUUUUCGCGGUUCUGGGUAGUGAGUGGGCCUUUACUGUUAGGGUGAAGUUUGCUCUUGUGCUGACAUUAACAUAAGUAAACAGCCCGUAGUAUAGUCACGGAUAUUCUGUAAUGGGCCUUUUUUUUCUUCUUGCAGGUACUGUAGUGGUUGAGAUCGUCUCUGGUCAACUUACAGGGAAUCUUCGCUUUUAAUUUUUGAAAAUUGAAUAUUUUAUAUAAAAUAAAAGAUGUUUGGUGUGU